rnacentral:misc_RNA from 1 species
AACGCACAUUGCGCCUCCUGUUACAGGGAGGCAUGCCUGUCUGAGCGUCGUUUAUUAUCAUAAAUCUCGAGCGAUUUGUAUUGGGCCUCGUCGGUUUGGACGUUGCCUGAAAGCCAGGAGCCGAGAGCGGAUGCGAUUCCCCGAGAACUGGCCGCGCUGGGUUUGAGCUCAUCUUUUGGACCUCAGAUCAGGUAGGACCACCGCCUGAACUUAA